GUGGAGCAUGUUGCUUAAUUCGAGACAACGCGAAGAACCUUAUCCUGGAUUUGACAUGCUUGUAUUAGCUCUGUGAAAGCAGAGUGACGCCUUCGGGUGGAACUUGCACAGGUGCUGCAUGGCUGUCGUCAGCUCGUGCUGUGAAGUGUCGGGUUAAGUCCCUUAACGAGCGCAACCCCUAUCGUUAGUUACUAACGCGUUAUGGCGAGGACUCUAACGAGACUGCCGGUGUCAAACCGGAGGAAGGUGGGGAUGACGUCAAGUCCUCAUGGCCCUUACGCCCAGGGAUGCAAACGUGCUACAAUGGCGUGUACAGAGCGAUGCUAACCUGCGAAGGUAUGCAAAUCGCAAAAAGCACGCCCCAGUUCGGAUUGCAGGCUGCAACUCGCCUGCAUGAAGCCGGAAUCGCUAGUAAUCGCAGGUCAGCUAUACUGCGGUGAAUAUGUUCCUGAGCCUUGUACACACCGCCCGUCAAGCCACGAAAGCGGGGGGGGCAUGAAGUCGCCGAGCUAACUUCGGAGGCAGGCGCCUAGUGUCAACUCCGUGAUUGGGACUAAGUCGGAACAAGGUAGCCGUAGGAGAACCUGCGGCUGGAUCACCUCCUU
rnacentral:rRNA from 16 species